rnacentral:piRNA from 1 species
UGAGGCCAACUUUGAUUUCUUUCAUUGU